CUACGUGCCAGCAGCCGCGGUAAUACGGAAGGUCCAGGCGUUAUCCGGAUUUAUUGGGUUUAAAGGGAGCGUAGGCUGGAUAUUAAGUGUGUUGUGAAAUGUAGACGCUCAACGUCUGAAUUGCAGCGCAUACUGGUUUCCUUGAGUACGCACAACGUUGGCGGAAUUCGUCGUGUAGCGGUGAAAUGCUUAGAUAUGACGAAGAACUCCGAUUGCGAAGGCAGCUGACGGGAGCGCAACUGACGCUUAAGCUCGAAGGUGCGGGUAUCAAACAGGAUUAGAUACCCUGGUAGUCCGCACAGUAAACGAUGGAUGCCCGCUGUUGGUACCUGGUGUCAGCGGCUAAGCGAAAGCAUUAAGCAUCCCACCUGGGGAGUACGCCGGCAACGGUGAAACUCAAAGGAAUUGACGGGGGCCCGCACAAGCGGAGGAACAUGUGGUUUAAUUCGAUGAUACGCGAGGAACCUUACCCGGGCUUGAA
rnacentral:rRNA from 1 species